rnacentral:lncRNA from 1 species
CUAGCAACCUUCUCAAAAGCGGCCUCAUCUAGGCCUUGGUAGAUGAAGUAGAGAGCCUUCUUGUCUUUCUUCAAAGUCUCUCGUUGUUGCGCCCUAAGAAUAUCUCUAUCUUCGGCUUCUACAUAGCCUCUUUCGACUAUGUCCCAAAUAUCUUGAGAUCCAAGCAACGCCUUCAUUUGGAUACUCCAAUUUUCAUAGUUGGUAUUGGUAAGACGAGGAAUGGGAAGCACUCCGGUAGCCAUGAUCUUGCUCUGAUACCACUUUGAAGAGGUGGAUGGAGGAAAAGAAUAUUGUAGUAUUUUUCACUAAGGAAUGAAGAGGACUUUACUCUAUAUUAAAUUUCUGCAACUCUCUUCAAUACAAAAUGACUCAAGUAACAACUCCUUUAUAAAGAGGAUUUUACAACCCUUCAAGUAACCUCUAUACAAAAUUCUAAGAGUCAUAUUUAAGAAUGACACUUCGGUUUUACUCAUGAAGAGGAAUUCUAAGUAAAUUUCAUAGGUAAGAUAAAAGAUCUUUUUGGAAACACAAAUGUCUUAAAUAACAUCUCUUGGAUCAAUGCACAAUUAAGUUUAUCUAUUUCUAACAUCCAUAAAGUAGAGGGUGUCUGGGUUAGGAAAACAUCUUCAUCCACACCAUCUGACCCUACUACUCACCAUUCACCUAGCUCUGACCAUGACCAGGACCACUACACAGCUCCUCCCACUUUUCCAUCCACUUCUGGUCCCUCAUUCCCAACUAAACCAUCCACUUCAGCUGGACCAUCUACAGCUCCACCACCUCAGCAGCCCCUAGAGGUCAGGAUCAACCCUGAGAAGCUCCGGGAGCUGAGAGAUGAGAUAGUGAGAGAGCUGCGAGGUCCACUUAGUGCUCCUUCCACUGAUGUCAUCCCCUCCACAGCAGCCGUAUCUAUGAUGAUCGCAGAGGUUAGAGAGAUGUCUCACAUGAGGAACUUGGUCCAGGGUCAGUAUUUGAGCCUUCAAGCUAUUAAGGAAGACACGAGAUAGAUGCGAGAGCAUCAGAGAGGAGCUUGGAAGGCAAAGUCAAGGUGCGGAAAGGCU